UCUAUUAUGGCAGACAUAUGCAAUGAAUUUAAGAUUCACUUAUAAAUAUAUAUAUUUUUAUAGAA
rnacentral:tRNA from 1 species